GAUGAACGCUAGCGAUAGGCUUAACACAUACAAGUCGAGGGGUAACGUGUUGGAAGCUUGCUUCCGAUGACGACGACCGGCGGAUGGGUGCGUAACGCGUAUGCAACUUGCCUCACAGUGGAGAAUAACCCGGAGAAAUCCGGACUAAUACUCCAUACACUCUUAAGUACGCCUGUACAUGAGAGGAAAGAUUUAUCGCUGUGAGAUAGGCAUGCGUCCUAUUAGGUAGUUGGUGAGGUAACGGCUCACCAAGCCGACGAUAGGUAGGGGUGCUGAGAGGCAGAUCCCCCACAUUGGGACUGAGACACGGCCCAAACUCCUACGGGAGGCAGCAGUGAGGAAUAUUGGUCAAUGGAGGAAACUCUGAACCAGCCAAGUCGCGUGAAGGAAGAAUGUCCUAAGGAUUGUAAACUUCUUUAGCGAGCGAGUAAGGACUUCCACGUGAUGGGAGUUUGAAAGUAGCUCGAGAAUAAGUAUCGGCUAACUCCGUG
rnacentral:rRNA from 1 species